rnacentral:lncRNA from 1 species
UGGUUUCAAUUUAAAUUUUUAAAGCACUUAAUUAUUUGAAUAAUAAAUUUUGUUUUCUCUUUACCUCUAAUCAAAAGAUUUCCCGGCAUGAAACAUUAAUGAAAAUAAUUUCUGCGUAACUCUUCCUUGAAGAAACUUUUCCAGAAACUGGUUAUUAUUUACUAUUCUCUUAAAAACUUUAAUCUUGGAAAAACAAUAAUAAAAAAGCAUUUUCUAAAAAAAAAAGCAUUUUAAUCAGGAGAUUAAGAAAACAAACCUGAUUAUUUCCAAUAACCAAUUAUUCAGAACUUAUAAUUUUCUCCACCUAACUUAGGGUAAAUCUAUCCUCAGGCUAGCUUGUUAGCCAUCCAACAAAUGGAAAGAUUGGGUCUCUUGACUUUAAUUAAAGCAUACAUCUCAGAAAAAAAAAACCAAUCCCAAAUCUUUCAUCGCACCUCACUCCCGGAUUAAGAAGAACUUUCUACCCUCCAAUCGACGCUUUUUCGAAAAGAAGAACUUGUGCCUCAGAAAUAGAAGAUAAAGAAGAAGACCGCAGAGGGAUUACCUUCAUUUGAUGAUCUUGGCUAAUCUGCGGAAGAAGCGUGUCAAGACGAUGGCGGUCUAGUUAGCAGUUAUCCCUUCCCUAGCACUGCUUGUCUUUUGUGCUAAAGAAUCAACUACGAGAAAGAAAGUUCUUUUUUUUUUCUCUACUCUCGGCACCCAUCUUUUUUUAUAUAUAUAAUUUCGUGUUCCAUCAUCUUCACGCAUUGCUGUUAUUGUUUGAUUCUUUGGAUAGCUUCAAGAUGGAUUAUUACUUCUUUUUUUAUUUUCCCUUUCCAUCAUACCAACCAGUUUUUGAUGUGUCAACAUUGUGUUAAUAAAAAAAAAUAAUUACCUAAGGAUGUAAACCAUUAGGAUUUCUAGCUGUUAAAAGUAGGACGAAGAAAGGAGCAUGUUAGAAUCCACUAUGGAAUUAGUCCGAAAGUCUCGUCAAAACUAACCAAUGGAUAAGAGAUUAACGAUUCCAAUGAACGCAGUAGAUGGAUAAUUUGGAUUUGUUGUGGAUUACUGGAUUUUAAAGAAUUUUGGAUACAUUUGCUUUUCACUUGAAUGCGUAUUACUAAGGGUACAAGUUUCUUUAGAAUGUCAAUGUCUUUGUUUGAAUACCUGCGAUAGAGAAGCAUGUUUAUAAGAUGUUGUUUGUACAAAAAAUUAUAGAAAGUUUGAAGAUAUGGACACAUAUGAGAAGACGUUACAUGCAGGAUAUUGGAACAAAUGGAAAGAUGUAAAGGAUAUUGGAACAAAUACAAUAAUUAAAGAUUCUGUAUAGUCUGCAAUCAUCAUCAAAUUUGAAGUUAACCAAAACAUAUUACUUUCACUCAAUAGUUGAAAUAACUUAUAAAGUUCUAAUUGGGGAAAAAACGAGAACAAAUUUCAUGAAGUCUUUGAAUCUGGCUUUGAAUCUUCUUUCACUUUGAAUCUGGCUUAUUUUGAAUAUAGUAAAAGAAAUUUAGCCUCUUAUAAAUUAUUUAUAGGUUCUACUUUUUUUCGAAAUCAAUUACCAUUCAGAAACAGUUAACUUUGUUUCUUAUAUUCCUUCAUAAAAUCAUGAAACAACUUAUUUGACGAAAUACUAAGAUUUUCGUUAAACAGUGACCUGAAUGAAACAGUGACUUGAAAUUGUACGGCGCCAUAACAAUAAUAUUUUAGCAACGGGCAAUACUUGUUAUGAGGGAAUGACUUAUACUUAUUUAUUGAAAACUUGGCAAUUUUUUCAAACGUAGACUGAUUGCCCUCCAUCUCAUAGAAUUUUAACAAUCAUUUCAUGAGAAUACUAUUUUCAGUUUACAGUUUGAACUUAAAUGGAAUGACUUGUGGAAAAAUAUUCAUAAUACGAUACCAAUGUUAAGAGUAUAUACUUUAUGUACAUACUUUAUAUUAUACUACUAAGUAGAACAUUAAAAAUGCUCGGAACAUAUGCUGUAUUAACACAAAAGCAAAUAUCAUACGUAAAUUAAUGCUAGCAAAAAAUCGAUACUUAUAGUGAAUCCUAAAGGAUUGGAAUAUUUAUCUAACAUAUCCUUCUGGGAAUAGCAUUUUCACGGAAGUCAUCACCGAUAAUAAUAAUAUUGCAUAAUCUUACAUUUAGUUAAUCGUUUUAUCAGUAAAUAGUAAAUUUCAGUAUUAGAUUAUUUUCGCGGUGGUAAUCUUUCAUUCUCUUCAAUUAACAAAUGCGAAUACAUAUAUAUGUAUAUAUAUUUGCUUAUAAAAAUGCUUUAGAUACUAUAGUUACAAAUGUAGUUGGAAAUUUUAAGCACGGCGUUAAAACAAAAAAUUAAGGCUCGUGAAAAUUUAUCAGCGUUGUGAAGAAGCUCAAGUUGAAAACUUUAUACUCAUAUUUAUCCGUUUGAAAAUUUCCUUGAAAUUAUUAUUAUCAUUUAGACGUUGCAUUCAUAGCAAACAACUAGUAUAUGUCUCUCUUCUACAAUUUGCCACCGUUGUAUAUGAUGUAAACAGUUCUCAACAAAAUUUAAUUGAAUAAUACAAAUUCAUGAAAUACAAAAUGAUUAUGCAUAUGGUUAUAGAUGUAUCGAAUACCAAUAAGAAAAGUACAGUUGAUUUAGGAAUGUUUUGAAGUCGUCGUUGUGCUAAGCAAGAAAUUAAAUCGAGUGCAGUUGCUUAGUGUGUGUAAAAAUAUCUUCGUCAGUCAAGUCGCAUGGAUAUUCUGUUCGUAGUUGUUAAACUCAAACUUCUAAAUGCUGUAACACAUGAGAAUAAGAGGAGACAUUUUGGUUUUAGACGUAUGCUGCACUAAUUGCUUAUAAUAUUACCAGAGGGAGAUUUCUUCAUGCCCCUGAGUUGCAUUUUAAAGAGGGAACAAAUAACAGUGCCGCCACCUCUUUUAUUGUUGCCAACAAGGUGUGAUUAUCAUAGUUAUUGGAUUUUACUUACCCUCUGGAUGUUGGUGCAAUUUUUUUCGCUUAAAAAGGAAAUCAUUUUUUUUUUUCCUUUCUGGAAACACUUAGGACUACGUCAAGCCAUGUAAAUGAAGCAACUCUUUUUUAUCUCUGCUAUAACAUUGCUUCUAUUUUCUGCUGAGAUAAUAAGUUAUGGUAUGUUUUCGAUGUGAGGUAGUAGGUUGUAUAGUUUAGAACUACACCUUUAAUGGGCGAACUAUACAGCUUGCUAACUUUCCUCGAUACAUGCCGAUUGCAUCUUAUGAAGACUCGGGAACUGAAGAAAAAUUAGAGCUGUCUUUAGAAAAAACUUAACAUUCUUUAAAACUACAGUUUGUUUGUGUUUCCUCACUUUGAAUGGAUAUUUGAACUUUAAGACUCCAGGCCCAAAAACUAUAACAUUUGUGUAAAAGAUUGUUAACUGCAAAUAAAAGGUCUAGAGCCAUAAGAAGUCAGAGAAGAUAAUUGAACUGGUGGAGUUGAAAAGAUGGUUAUUUAAUCACAUGAAUGGGAUAAACAUCAGCUCUCCAAGUAAUGCUACAUUGGUUGACAAGAUGAAGAUAUAACUCUUCAGUUUCGGAUACCUGAAUAUGGAAAAUGAUGUUUAUUAAAACUAAAAUUUCAAUUAUAUAUUCUAUGACUGAGUGUCCCAGAAUAUAUAAUUGAAUUAUAUUCUAUGACUGAUGUCAGAGAAUAUAUAAUUGGAUUAUAUUCUAUGACUGAUGUCACAGAAUAUGUAAUUGAAAUAAAAUAAAACUAAAGUUUUAAUUUAUUUCCAUGACUUAAUGUAAAAUCAACCGAACUAAAUAUUUCUAGUUAAAUACUACAAGUUCGAAUACUCGAAGUUUGAAUAAUUUUUAGCAAAUUAGGUAACUUUCCUUUAAACAUUGUCUGUCCAAUCAUUAAGACACAGAUUCACUAUAUUUCGUCUCUAUAUUUCGUACAUGAAAUUACACAUUUUCGGAUAAUCAAAACAUCAGUCAUAGAAUAUAAUGGUCUGAUAUUUUAUAUUGUUUAUAUAAAAUAUCAGACCAUUAAAAAUUGUCUGAUAUUUUAUAUUGUUUAUAUGCUUACAUUGUUUACAAUUUUAUAAAGCGAUAAGCCCCGAUUGUAGUGUAAUAAAAAAUAGAAAUAUUUACUGAUUUUGAUCAAUUUUCAAUAUUAUUCUCAUUUUUAUUUGUUUAUUCGUAUGCAUACAUUAAUAGAUAGUACAGUUUAUCAAGAAUUGGAUAUAGCAGAAAUUUAAAAUACUACAAAUGACAAUAUCACAUGUCGCCAUUGUUAUACUGCUAUUAUUAUUUUUAAUGUUAUCAUUAUUACUGUUAUAUUAUUAUACCAUUAUUCUUUAAUAACUAUAGUUCCCAAUACUUUUAAAGUGACUAUCUAUACUUUUGUAUUUAAAGUGGGUUUUAAAGUUUAUGCUUUGCUAUUUUAUUCUUGAUUUUAAAAUAUUUUAUUAUAAAUGAUAUUGAACACUAUUAUAUCUAAUAUUUAAUUUUUGCCUACUUAUGAAAGGUCUAAUAGUCAUUCAAUGCAGUUUUAGGGGCUGACGAAAGUUUUUAAAAAAUUCUGUUCAAGCUAGUUUUUUUUUUUUUUUU